AUUGAACGCUGGCGGCAGGCCUAACACAUGCAAGUCGAACGAUUGGCGGACGGGUGAGUAAUGUCUGGGAAACUGCCUGAUGGAGGGGGAUAACUACUGGAAACGGUCGCUAAUACCGGAUACCCUCCGAUGUGCCCAGAUGGGCUUAGCUAGUAGGUGGGGUAAUGGCUCACCUAGGCGACGAUCCCUAGCUGGUCUGCGAGGAUGACCAGACACAAUGGAAAUGAGACACGGUCCAGACUCCUACGGUAGGCAGCAGUGGGGAAUAUUGCACAAUGGGCGCAAGCCUGAUGCAGCCAUGCCGCGUGUGUGAAGAAGGCCUUCGGGUUGUAAAGCACUUGCAGCGAGGAGGCGUUACUCGCAGAAGAAGCACCGGCUAACUCCGUGCCAGCAGCCGCGGUAAUUC
rnacentral:rRNA from 1 species